rnacentral:pre_miRNA from 14 species
UUCUUUGCCACUUUAGCAGUGUCAGGUGUGGGCUCCAUCUUAUGAAAGACUCCCAGAGCGGGGAGACCCUCACUCAAGUCUUGGGAUGACGUGGCCCCCCAAAGAACUCACGAGAGACC